CACGAUAGCAGUCAUUUCGUGCGCAUAUGUGUAAUUAAACCAUGAUAUCAAAAUCUCACUCCAGCCAGGGACCCAAAGUUGGCAACCCUGCUAUCCUAAGGUAACCUUGCAAACAGGCCCGGCUAGCUCAGUCGGUAGAGCAUGAGUGUGUUUUUUUGUGGUUUACUAAAACAUUUUAUUCGUUCCUGCUGUAUUUGCCCAAAUGUACUCCCAAGUGUUCUUCCUCAUUCUUUGAGAAAGAGAUAUUAUCUCACUAUCCUAAGGUAACCUUGCAAUGUGUCAGUCUGAUUGGUUGACAGCACUUGCACAACUUUUCAGUCACAGACAGACAAUACCAGGAAAUGUGAUCCUCAUGUUUACAAGUAGAGUGUCUUCAUUCCCCACGUGCUUUCAGAGGAGAGGGGGGGCAGCCCUACUUUCCCGCCUUACCCCACCUCCUGUUGUGUGGUAUGAAUAGAGAUACCGGGGGAAGGGGACUGUCCCUACAAAAAGACAUGUGAGUGGAAAUUAAAUCAGGCCUGGCUAGCUCAGUCGGUAGAGCAUGAGACUCUUAAUCUCAGGGUCGUGGGUUCGAGCCCCACGUUGGGCUCAAAACUUUUUAGGGAGACACUUCUUGCAACAGCAGCAUGUUGAUUCAGAAGGAUGUGACGUAAUGAUAAGAAAAAAAAGAA